UAUGUACUCCCUCCAUUCCAAAAUACUUGACUUCCAUUUGUCCAAAAAUGGAUGUACCUAUAUACUAAAACAUGUCUAGAUACAUCUAUAUUUUGACAAAUAGAAGGCAUGUGUUGUGGAACAGAGGGAGUAGAAU
rfam:Triticum aestivum genome assembly, contig: Triticum_aestivum_CS42_TGACv1_scaffold_130678_2BL